UUGCUGCGGUGCAGAGGAUUCCAGUUGCCGUAAUUUUCAGUGGAAAGAAUAAUGAUCACAGGGAACUGAAUGUGGGACACCUGUAGUCAGUGAGGAGAAACCCCACACAGACAUUCAGCUGCUACAAGGACCUGGAAAGAAGAAUUCCCUUUGGAACACAGGUUUUGCAGAAGGAUUCACAUUUUGCAUAAAUAACAAAGAAGCUCAAACACACACCCACUCUGAGUUAGCAUAAAGUUUUGUAUGAUCUAUGGCACAGUUGUGUGGAUGAGCCAGCACUUGUUUUACUCAGACUGAAAGAAUCAUUGCCAAUGGGCUUUGUCCUGAAACUCUCCAAAUGCCGCUCUGAAAAGUUAAAAACUUACUCCUGUGUGUGGUCGGGGGUGUGACAAGUUGUGUACCUCCCUGUCUCCUCCCCAUUAUAAAUCCCUUUCCACACGAGGCACUGUUAGUUCAACUGCUGUGUUGUGUGAGUUUAUCAGCCACUGUGACUGAUUUCUAGGGAGGCUGUAGGUUGGUCACAUGACACUGUUAAAUAUCUGGGUUAGUGAAGAAAACAAAUUCCAGUUUUGUGCAGUGAUGCUGAAGGCACUUUUCUCUGAUGUUGUAAGUGCUCCAGUAUAUGGAAAUACUAACGAUUGUGGAAAAAAACCCAAAAAUUACCAGUUUCUAAGACAGGAGGUUUGGGAUAGUAUUACACAACUGUAGAAGAGAACCUGCUUAGAUAAAAAUACAUAAA